CCGCUACUACCAGUUGGACAAAUUGGAAUCAUAAUUCAAAAGGGAGAUUUUGAAACGAUGCCUAUUUAAUAUUGCCAUGAUAGCUUAAGUCACAUCGCCUCACCUCUGCUCCAAAAGUCGCACGUCCCAUCAAUUGAAGGGCCUUUUCACAUCUUUGAUUUAAGGAUGCAGAUAUAUUCUCUUCGUCCGACUAAAGUCAGACUUGAGAGUAGGAGAUAUGUGUUAGAGAAAAUUUUGCGUGGGCUGAUGAUAUGAAAAGGCCUAAG
rnacentral:lncRNA from 1 species